AACGAACGCUGGCGGCAUGCCUAACACAUGCAAGUCGAACGAGACCUUCGGGUCUAUUGGCGCACGGGUGCGUAACGCGUGGGAACCUGCCCUUAGGUUCGGAAUAACUCCCCGAAGGGGGUGCUAAUACCGGAUAAUGUCUUCGGACCAAAGAUUUAUCGCCUUUGGAUGGGCCCGCGUUGGAUUAGCUAGUUGGUAGGGUAAAAGCCUACCAAGGCGACGAUCCAUAGCUGGUCUGAUAGGAUGAUCAGCCACACUGGGACUGAGACACGGCCCAGACUCCUACGGGAGGCAGCAGUGGGGAAUAUUGGACAAUGGGCGAAAGCCUGAUCCAGCAAUGCCGCGUGAGUGAUGAAGGCCUUAGGGUUGUAAAGCUCUUUUACCCGGGAUGAUAAUGACAGUACCGGGAGAAUAAGCUCCGGCUAACUCCGUG
rnacentral:rRNA from 1 species